GGCCUGUUGGUCUAGUGGCAUGAAUCUCGCUUAGGGUGCGAGAGGUCCCGGGUUCGACUCCCGGUCAGGCCC
rnacentral:tRNA from 1 species